rnacentral:rRNA from 1 species
AGUGAACGCUGGCGGUAGGCCUAACACAUGCAAGUCGAACGGCAGCACAGUAAGAGCUUGCUCUUACGGGUGGCGAGUGGCGGACGGGUGAGGAAUACAUCGGAAUCUACUUUUUCGUGGGGGAUAACGUAGGGAAACUUACGCUAAUACCGCAUACGACCUACGGGUGAAAGCAGGGGAUCUUCGCACCUUGCGCGAUUGAAUGAGCCGAUGUCGGAUUAGCUAGUUGGCGGGGUAAAGGCCCACCAAGGCGACGAUCCGUAGCUGGUCUGAGAGGAGGAUCGGCCGCACUGGAACUGAGACGCGGACCAGACUCCUACGGGAGGCAGCAGUGGGGAAUAUUAGACAAUGGGCGCAAGCCUGAUCCAGCCAUACCGCGUGGGUGAAGAAGGCCUUCGGGUUGUAAAGCCCUUUUGUUGGGAAAGAAAAGCAGCAGGUUAAUACCCCGCUGUUCUGACGGUACCCAAAGAAUAAGCACCGGCUAACUUCGUG